rnacentral:rRNA from 1 species
UNUGACUUGAGUGCAGAAGGGGAGAGUGGAAUUCCAUGUGUAGCGGUGAAAUGCGUAGAUAUAUGGAGGAACACCAGUGGCGAAAGCGGCUCUCUGNUCUGUCGCUGACGCUGAGGCUNGAAAGCGUGGGUAGCGAACAGGAUUAGAUACCCUGGUAGUNCACGCCGUAAACGAUGAGUGCUAGGUGUUAGGCCCUUUCCGGGGCUUAGUGCCGGAGCUAACGCAAUAAGCACUCCGCCUGGGGAGUACGACCGCAAGGUUGAAACUCAAAGGAAUUGACGGGGGCCCGCACAAGCGGUGGAGCAUGUGGUUUAAUUCGAAGCAACGCGAAGAACCUUACCAGGUCUUGACAUCCCGAUGCUAUUCUUAGAGAUAGGAAGUUACUUCGGUACAUCGGAGACAGGUGGUGCAUGGUUGUCGUCAGCUCGUGUCGUGAGAUGUUGGGUUAANNNNNNCNACGAGCGCAACCCUUAUUGUUAGUUGCCAUCAUCAAGUUGGGCACUCUAGCGAGACUGCCGGUAAUAAACCGGAGGAAGGUGGGGAUGACGUCAAAUCAUCAUGCCCCUUAUGACCUGGGCUACACACGUGCUACAAUGGUCGGUACAACGAGUUGCGAGCCGGUGACGGCAAGCUAAUCUCUGAAAGCCGAUCUCAGUUCGGAUUGGAGGCUGCAACUCGCCUCCAUGAAGUCGGAAUCGCUAGUAAUCGCGGAUCAGCACGCCGCGGUGAAUACGUUCCCGGGCCUUG